GUAAGACAUAUCAUAUCGCAUGUGGAUAAUUAUAAGUGAAAAAAAAAAUUGAUUCAGAAAUUGAAAUGGAACUUGAAGGUAAGAAACACAAGAAAUGUCUCCACACUCGACUGGUUUACACCCCGAAAAAAAGCAGCUGUUACUUUAUUAUUGAGUUUGUUCACGUUCUAUGAACAUUCCACUGUUGUGAGACUAUUCAUUCGAGGCAAUUGUUAUACGAAAGCGUAAUGUAUUAUUUCAUUUUGGAUAUUUUUAAUUUUUAUCACUG